GCACGCGCUCAGCUGCCUCGCCUCAGUCCUCCUCUCCGGCCGCUUGCUGUUGCUGCUCCCACCCAUCUCCUCAACCACCUGAGCUCCUCGCCCUCUCUGCCCUCUCUGGUCUUCAAUUCGUUCGAGCUGAACUCGAGGGCAACAAUUCGCUCCGAUCCAUUCCAUCCACCCCGUCGAUCCAUCCAGCGGCCCUCCUCUCCCAGUCCCAGUCCCAGAAAUGGGCAAGAACGGCCUGGUCUCCAUCUUCUCCCGGCUCGUGGACUCCGCCGCCCCCACCUCCACGUCCGCCGCCGCCACGCCGUGGCAGUGGUCGGCCUGCGGAACCAACCCGCAGACGACCUCCUUCCGCGCAGGCGCAGGCGGCGACGACGACGAGCCCUGCUGCACGGCGACGCCGCCCACGGCAGCAGCAGCAGCAGCCAGUCGAUCCGUCCACCGGAAGCCGGCUGCGAUGGGCCGCGGCGCGCCGCCCGGCGAAAUGUACAAGACGGUCAACUCGGUCUUCCUGGACGACCCCGCCGCGGACGACUUCUUCUUCUCCCUCGCCGGCGACGGCGACGACGAGGAGGAGGUGGCGGGGCUCUACCUCGACGACAACGACGACGACGACGGGUUCUCGACCACCACGGCGUCCGAGGAGUGGUCGGAGGAGGCCGUGAUCCGCAGCCUGGGCCGCACGUCCACCGACCGCUUCUUCUUCGACCCGCAGCCUGGCCCGCUGCCGGCGUCCAACUCCAUCCUCGCCACCACGGCCGCGGCCGCCGCCGAGACGCCGGCGAGGAAGAAGACGGUCCCGGUCCCAGUCCCAGUCCCAGGGCCGACAGAGGAGGAAGACGCAACGGCAACGCACGCGGACGAGGGCGACGGCGUCAAGAAGCAGCGGCAACCGACGACGGCGGCGGCGGCGGCGGCAGCGGUGUCGUCGUCUCUGGCGGAGCGCAGCGUGGCGGUGGCGGUGGACUCGGGCGACCCGUACGGCGACUUCCGGGCGUCCAUGGAGGAGAUGGUGUCGGCGCACGGGCUCCGCGACUGGGCGCAGCUGGAGGAGCUCCUGGCGUGGUACCUCCGGAUCAACGGGAAGCAGCACCACCACCUGAUCGUGGGCGCCUUCGUGGACCUGCUCCUCGGCCUGUCCACGUCCUCGCCCUCCUCCUCCUCCUCCCCUCCCUCCAGCACCGCCGCCGAGACCAGCACCACCACCACGAGCAGCACCAGCACCGGCUGCAGCUGAGCUGCAGCUGCACGGCCGCCGCCGCCGCCGCUACGACCACCAGCUGUGGCAGUGUCGCCGGCGACGCCGUCACAGCCUCCGCCGCCGCCGCCGCCUCCGGCCGACGUUCAGGUGCACGUGGUGGAGGAUGAGGAGGCAGCAUGCAAGCGCUGGCCCUGUACUGCUGGCAGCGACGACGGUGAUCGGUCGUGCCCGCAGUCCGCGCCACCACCAGUAGUGCUCCACCCACUGCGCGUGGCCUGUCGAUCGCUUGAGUAGAUGACCUGCUAAUCUCCAGACCUUUACCUCCUGGCUCCUGCAGCUGCUGAUGGUUAGUGUUCUAACGACAACAGGAUGAUUAAAUUAACUGGACGCUGUCACUAACACUCUCUCGCCAUGUAGUACAGGUGCGCGUAGCAAUAGUAGAGUUAGUAGUAGUAGGAGCAGUUGGUUGGUGCGGAUCGAAUCGAAGGAUCCAAUGCAAUGUACAAGUAACUGUACCUGUACGUGUAGUGUAGUGUAGGUAGAGGGUUUCUCUCGAGAGAGGGAGAGAAAAAAAAAUCAACGGUUUUUAUUUCCAGUACGGGUAUAAAUGUAUAAAGACCUUAAUUUCUACUCCUGCCAGCAGCUCCGGUAUUUAUGGCAAAUGAAACCGGUGGCCGCCGAACAACGACCCCUGCCAGCUGACUGAGCAUAAUUAAUCGUCGGUGUUUGCAUGCUAUCACACCUCCAAUCCCCG
rnacentral:misc_RNA from 1 species